rnacentral:rRNA from 1 species
AAAAUUAGAGUGUUCAAAGCAGGCAGAUCCAAUUUUCUGCCACCGAAUACAUUAGCAUGGGAUAAUGGAAUAGGACCCUGUCCUCCUAUUUUCAGUUGGUUUUGGCAGCGCGAGGACUAGGGUAAUGAUUAAUAGGGAUAGUUGGGGGCAUUAAUAUUUAAUUGUCAGAGGUGAAAUUCUUGGAUUUAUGAAAGAUUAACUUCUGCGAAAGCAUCUGCCAAGGAUGUUUUCAUUAAUCAAGAACGAAAGUUAGGGGAUCGAAGACGAUCAGAUACCGUCGUAGUCUUAACCAUAAACGAUGCCGACCAGCGAUUAGGAGACGUUGAAUACAAAACACCACCAUCGGCGCGGUCGUCCUUGGCGUCUGUCCCUUUCAACGGGGGCAGGCGCGAGGGCGGUAGCCCAG